GGGCCGUUAGCUCAACUGGUAGAGCAGCGGACUCUUAAUCCG
rnacentral:tRNA from 1 species